rnacentral:rRNA from 1 species
UCUGGGAUUAGAUACCCUGUUAUUUAAAAUGUAAAUAAAUAUUAUAGAGUAGUAUUAGUUAUGAUCUUAAAACUUAAAAAAUUUGGCGGUAUUUUAAUCUUUUCAGAGGAACUUGUUUUAUAAUUGAUAAUCCUCACUAUAUCUUACUUAAUUUAUUUAAUUUGUAUAUCGCCGUCAUAAGAAAAUCUUUAAAAAGAAAAAAUUUUCUAAUAUUAAAAAUAUAAAAAAUGUCAGGUCAAGGUGCAGUUUAUAGUUAAGAAAAAAUGAGUUACAAUAAAUAUUUUUAAAAUUAAUUUUUUUUUAUAUUUAUACAGUUUUAAAAUUGAAAUAUUUUAAAUAAGGUGGAUUUGAUAGUAAAAUAAUUAAUUUAAUUUAUUUGAUUAAAGUUCUAAAAUAUGUACAAAUCGCCCGUCACUCUCUGA